UUGUUCAGACAAAGUGGGAUUAGCAUCUAUUGCCUAGCUGAGUGGUUAUAUAGUAGGCUGCUGGGGCCAUAGAAAGGUGGGGCGAAAACUAAGGCCUGCUUCACCUCACCUUGCCUCAUGUUCAUGUUUUGAGCGUGUUAGCAGAGUGUUUCCAGUGCAUGACUUCAGAAAUGGGGACGCUGCCAUGCCCAUGGAGAUCUGGCCACCUCUUUGCUUUCAUCACCUUCGCCUUGUUGUUCUCGACUUCAUUUGCUGGGAGACACUACAGUUUCUUGACGGAUCAAGGUGCCCUACGUCAACAAGGAGAGG